rnacentral:lncRNA from 1 species
UACCAACAUUGGGAAUCAAUAAACAUUGGGACAAAUAAUGAACCAGUUUAUGAUGAGAGAUUGACGUGGGAGGGCCGUGCAGAUAAAAUGACGCAGGGAUACAAGAUGUGUGUCUUGGAUUAUGAAUUCCAUAUUCUUGAUAAUGCUUUCCUCAUUCACAGGCCCGGUAUCAAAACUAAAGAGAUUUUACAUUCCCAUAUGGACAACAAAAAGGUGGCUGCUCAGAAUAGUUUUAUAAGAAAGACGAUAUUUCCUCAAGUCAAGAAAAUCUACGGAACCCGAAAAGGCUGCGAAAUUAUAUAAUCAUGUGCGGCAAUUCUACAGAUAUGCGCAGCAGUGAUUAAACCAGAGUGUGAUAUAUCUCAAGAAACUGAAUAUUCCAGACUAGUGUUAGUAGAGUUCAUAUGAAGAAAAAAGGAACAUUUUUGAUAUUAUUUCGCUACAUAUAUUCUCAACACACCUCAAGCAUUUUGCUAUUAUAAAAAAAUGUUUAAUUUUGAAGACAGAGCCUUAUAAAACAAGUUUUUAAGCGGUGUCUAUGUCUAGGUUUUUAUUAAAAAAUCAUCUUUGCUAUGUGAAAUAAUAUGGAAAUUCUUCCUAAGAAAACCAGUCCAAAAGUCAUUUUUAGAAAAUCAACCCUGCAUUAUAUUUAUUAUGUACGCUAUGUACAUUUGUGCUAUGUACUGUAUAUUGUACGCAUUGUCAAUUUUAUACGGCUUAUCCCUCCAGUCUAGGGUUUUUUAAAGAAAAAACUUGCCUUUAUUACAUGAAUCGGAAUCAAAUUUUCUUCGCGCGCAAAUUUUCGGAUGUAUAUAUUUUUAAAAAAAAUUGAUGUUUAAGAUAUUUUGCUUUUUCGCAAUUUAAAUUAAAAAUUAAAAAUUUUGUUUGG